CUGCCUGUUCUUGGCCAAGCAGUCGGCUCAGCUCGCUCGGCCGAGACCAGGUGCCGCGGAGGGAGGAGCAACGCCGUGCGUCCUCCCGGCGACGUGCCUACGUAGCCAAUCGGCGGCCGCGCAGCCGUCCGAGUGAAAAAAAGUACCCGUGGUCUCAGCGCAAGCGAUCUACGCAUGACGGAAGUGACGGCAAGCUCUACGCAUGACGGAAGUGACGGAAGGGACAAUCUUGGAAGGGGCGCGACACGAGCGCGAGGCGGCGCUGUGGAGACUGGAGAAUGGCGUUUGCAGGGAAAGCUGAGGUUGGACUGGAGCGUCGCCCCGUUCGCCGCAGCUAGUCCAUUCGAGCAGCGGGGUAGAACACGACCCUGCCUUUCCCGAGGCGUUCUUUCUAGCCCAGACGUGGCUCCCCGGGAGCCUCACGCUGCCUCUCAUUACUUAGCCCCUGCUCGUUUUCUCCUUAACUCUGUAUGUUCGUAGCACCUUGUUCAGGUUGCUAACUCUUGUCGGUAAUAACUUAGUGUCUCACCUUGCCCAGCACCCUCUUUUGGCAAGUGAGCCCGAGUCCCAAAGAGGAGAAAUGAUUCUCUAAGGCUGCGGAGCAAGUUAGAACCAGCUGAGGACGCCUCACGGGGUUGAAGUGGAAAAGUACUUGUUGAGGCUCCCGGGUGGUCUGCAGCACCAGAGGCAAACUGACCCCUCUCAGAGAGUAUUGGAAGGCUAGCCCAUGGUCAGAUACAAAGAAGGGAGGAGGAAGCCACUGAAAGGACUUCACUUUCCUGGUUUGCAUCUUAAGCAAGAUCACUCUGGCUCCUGUUUGGAGGACUGGAUCAGAGUGAGACUAACGACUGUGAAAGUUAUUCAGAGAAUGGAAGGGAGGAGGAGAGACAAAGAGAGAAAAACAUCGAUGUGAGAGAGACACAUCAAUUUGUUGCCUCUCACAAGUGCCCCAACAGGGGUGGGAACCGAGCGUGCAUCCGGGUAUGUGCCCUUGACCAGAAUCAAACCCACGACCAUGCAGUCUG